CCUACGGGAGGCAGCAGUAGGGAAUCUUUCACAAUGGGCGAAAGCCUGAUGGAGCAACGCCGCGUGCAGGAUGAAGGCCUUCGGGUUGUAAACUGCUUUUAUAAGCGAGAAAUAUGAUGGUAACUUAUGAAUAAGGAUCGGCUAACUACUUGCCAGCAGCCGCGGUCAUACGUAGGAUCCGAGCAUUAUCCGGAGUGACUGAGCGUAAAGAGUUGCGUAGGUGGCAUAAUAAGUAGCUAGUGGAAUCUGGUGGCUCAACCAUUCAGACUAUUAGCGAAACUGUUAAGCUCGAGACCGUUAGAGGUAAGUGGAAUUUCUAGUGUAGGAGUGAAAUCCGUAGAUAUUAGGAGGAACACCAAUAGCGUAGGCAGGUUGCUGGGACGGUUCUGACGCUGAGGCACGAAAGCGUAGGGAGCAAACAGGAUUAGAUACCCCAGUAGUC
rnacentral:rRNA from 1 species